rnacentral:rRNA from 1 species
GACGAACGCUGGCGGCGUGCUUAACACAUGCAAGUCGAACGAAGAGCGAUGGAAGCUUGCUUCUAUCAAUCUUAGUGGCGAACGGGUGAGUAACGCGUAAUCAACCUGCCCUUCAGAGGGGGACAACAGUUGGAAACGACUGCUAAUACCGCAUACGAUCUAAUCUCGGCAUCGAGGGUAGAUGAAAGGUGGCCUCUACAUGUAAGCUAUCACUGAAGGAGGGGAUUGCGUCUGAUUAGCUAGUUGGAGGGGUAACGGCCCACCAAGGCGAUGAUCAGUAGCCGGUCUGAGAGGAUGAACGGCCACAUUGGGACUGAGACACGGCCCAGACUCCUACGGGAGGCAGCAGUGGGGAAUCUUCCGCAAUGGACGAAAGUCUGACGGAGCAACGCCGCGUGAGUGAUGACGGCCUUCGGGUUGUAAAGCUCUGUUAAUCGGGACGAAAGGCCUUCUUGCGAAUAGUGAGAAGGAUUGACGGUACCGGAAUAGAAAGCCACGGCUAACUACGUG